AUUGAACGCUGGCGGCAGGCUUAACACAUGCAAGUCGAGCGAGCGGCGGACGGGUGAGUAAUGUCUGGGAAACUGCCUGAUGGAGGGGGAUAACUACUGGAAACGGUAGCUCAUACCGCAUACCAUCAGAUGUGCCCCGAUGGGAUUAGCUAUUAGGUGGGGUAAUGGCUCACCUAGGCGACGAUCCCUAGCUGGUCUGAGAGGAUGCCCAGCCACACGGGAACGGAGACACGGUCCAGACUCCUACGGGAGGCAGCAGUGGGGAAGAUUGCGCAAUGGGCGCAAGACUGAUGAAGCCAUGCCGAGUGUGUGAAGAAGGCCUGCGGGUUGUAAAGAACUUUCAGCGAGUAGGCGUUACUCGCAGAAGAAGCACCGGCUAACUCCGUGCCAGCAGCCGCGGUAAUAC
rnacentral:rRNA from 1 species